rnacentral:rRNA from 1 species
GACGAACGCUGGCGGCGUGCCUAACACAUGCAAGUCGAACGGAAAGGCCCUGCUCAUUUGGGGCGCUCGAGUGGCGAACGGGUGAGUAACACGUGAGUAACCUGCAUCUGACCUUGGGGUAACUUCAGGAAACUGGGGCUAAUACCGGAUAGGAGCUCUUGCUGCGUGGGGGGGGUUGGUGAGUUUCGGCGGUGGGGGAUGGACUAGCGGCUUAUUAGCUUGUUGGUGGGGUAGUGGCUUACCAAGGCUUUGACGGGUAGCAGGGCUGAGAGGGUGACCGGCCCCAUUGGGACUGAGAUACGGCCCAGUCUCCUACGGGAGGCAGCAGUGGGGAAUGUUGCACAAUGGGCGGAACCCUGAUGCAGCAACGCCGCGUGCGGGAUGACGUCCUUCGGUUUGUGAACCGCUUUCGUCUGUUGCGAGGCGAGAGUGACGGUAAUGGGUAAAGAAGCACCGGCUAACUACGUG